rnacentral:rRNA from 1 species
UAAGCGGAGGAAAAGAAACUAACAAGGAUUCCCUUAGUAACGGCGAGUGAAGUGGGAAAAGCUCAAAUUUUAAAUCACCCGGGUUCCCUUGGUGAAUUGUAAUUUGAAGAAAGUGUUUUGACGUCUGGGUUCGAUUUAAAUCCUUUGGGAUAAGGUAUCAUAGAGGGUUAGAAUCCCGUUUAUGAUUGAUCCUUUGAAUGUCUAUAAUUCACUUUCCAAGAGUCGAGUUGUUUGGGAUUGCAGCUCAAAAUGGGUGGUAAAUUUCAUCUAAGGCUAAAUAUGUGCAAGAGACCGAUAGCGAACAAGUACCGUGAGGGAAAGAUGAAAAGAACUUUAAAAAGAGAGUUAAAUAGUACGUGAAAUUGUUGAAAGGGAAACAAUUAAAGUUAGUCAUGUGGUAGGGAAUACAUCAAAUUGAUCGAAUCCAGGCACUAAGAGGGGCCUGUAUUGCGAGACCUCUUGGGAAGAGUCUCGAGCAUCAAUUUCUGAUGAAAUGAGAGUUUCCUUACUUGCAGGUUAGCAUCAAUUUCGGUUACCAUAUAAAAUUGAGGGAAAGGAGGCUUUCUCCGGAAAAGUGUUAUAGACCUCGAUAAAUGUGGUGACCAGGAUUGAGGAUUGCAGCGGAUACCCAUUUGGGCUAGUCACCUGGCUUCUGAUGAUUGCCCUGUCUUCGAUAGCUUGCUAACGUUGGUGGGACUCGAUUAUCUAGAUGUUGGAGUGAUCAUAAAUUGCGUUAAGGAUGCUGACGUAAUGGCUUUAAAUGACCCGUCUUGAAACACGGACCAAGGAGUCUAACAUGUAUGCGAGUGUU